UACGGGGGGUGCAAGCGUUGUUCGGAAUUAUUGGGCGUAAAGAGCGUGUAGGCGGUUUGUUAAGUCUGAUGUGAAAGCCCUGGGCUCAACCCAGGAAGUGCAUUGGAAACUGGCAGACUUGAAUACGGGAGAGGGCAGUGGAAUUCCUAGUGUAGGAGUGAAAUCCGUAGAUAUUAGGAGGAACACCGGUGGCGAAGGCGGCUGCCUGGACCGAUAUUGACGCUGAGACGCGAAAGCGUGGGUAGCAAAC
rnacentral:rRNA from 1 species